rnacentral:lncRNA from 1 species
CCACUUAUGAACCAGGACCAGGAGCUGGACUUCUCCUACCUAAUUUGAUUAGAUUCACACUUAUUUCAUAGACAAUAGCUACCAAUAGGCAUCUCAGUCUGUCAGGUAUUUGGGCUGAAUUUUGUAGUCACACAUUCUCCCUGUAAGUUUUCUUGUAAACUCGCAUGGUUCAAAAUCUGAAAUUCUGAAAUCUGAAAUCCUCUGACACGGCUAAACUUCAUUUUAGGUGGCAUCUGGUGCUUUCAUAGAAGAACUGGAAGAUAAGAGUGGCAGAAGCAAGUUUAAGCAUUGAAGGACAUUGGAGAACAAGUCAGACACAAUUCCUGUGAAAGGUCCAUGGAAACUUGAGCUGCUGGAGUCACUUGUGACCAGAUGUGUUUGGGGACCAGAGUAAAAGGGAAGGCAGACAAGAUGCUCCAUUGGGAACAGAUGGCUUUCUGGAAAUCUCCCAACAAGGACUACUCCUGGAAUAGAUUUCAUCUGCAAGCCCCACGCAGAGGUUUUUUAUGGAGCAAUCUGUGCCUACCGAAACAUGCAGACUGUGUAUGAAGAAGCCUGUAUUUGAGAUAUGGAAGAUUACACUACUGGACCACCAACAAUUCAAAACAGAGAUUAAUUUUCAGUAUUUCAGUCAUCUGAAUGGAUUAUUUUAUCACUCCUCUACCAGCAG